GGACCCGCACAAGCGGUGGAUGAUGUGGAUUAAUUCGAAGAUACGCGCAGAACCUUACCAACACUUGACAUGUUCGUCGCGACUCUAAGAGAUUAGAGUUUUCGGUUCGGCCGGACGAAACACAGGUGCUGCAUGGCUGUCGUCAGCUCGUGUCGUGAGAUGUUGGGUUAAGUCCCGCAACGAGCGCAACCCUCACUUUUAGUUGCCAUCAUUAAGUUGGGCACUCUGAAAGAACUGCCAGUGAUAAGCUGGAGGAAGGUGGGGAUGACGUCAAGUCCUCAUGGCCCUUACGUGUUGGGCUACACACGUGCUACAAUGGUAUCUACAACAGGAAGCAAAACAGCGAUGUUAAGCAAAUCCCAUAAACCGUGGCUCAGUUCAGAUCGUAGGCUGCAACUCGCCUACGUGAAGGCGGAAUCGCUAGUAAUCGC
rnacentral:rRNA from 1 species